CGUUUAGGGGUAAACCUGAGAAACCCGAAAGGUCGAAGGGAGAAAUUCAUUCGCGUUUCGCGGUCGGCGUGAGACGUUCGUGUGACGGGAAUCGUGUUCGCACGUUUCCCGCGCCUUUCGUUUUUCGAUCCGAUAGCGAACGCGUGCACUUUUCUCCUGGUAGGACGUCGCGAUCCGUUGGGUGUCGGUCUACGGCUCGUGGUGGAGCCCGGACGUACGGCUUGCCGUCACGUUCGGACCCACGUGUCCCGGCUGACUCGCUCGACGGUAUACGAAAGGUUUAAGGCCGCUCUUAGAGCGUUCGGCUCGUCGCAAGCGCGUUAGAUGUGUCGGUGAUCGGACCUAGUGCCGGUUCUGACCUCUGACGACUGUUGGCGGCGAAGUUCUCGAACAGACCUUUUAACCGAUCUGCGACGCUAUAGCUUUGGGUACUUUCAGGACCCGUCUUGAAACACGGACCAAGGAGUCUAGCAUGUGCGCGAGUCAUUGGGAAUCACUAAACCUAAAGGCGCAAUGAAAGUAAAGGUCCGCCUUGCGCGGACUGAGGGAGGACGGGCGGUUUACCCUUAAAAGUGGCCGCUCCGCACUCCCGGGGCGUCUCAUUCUCAUCGCGAGAAGAGGCGCACCAAGAGCGUACACGCUGGGACCCGAAAGAUGGUGAACUAUGCCUGGUCAGGACGAAGUCAGGGGAAACCCUGAUGGAGGUCCGUAGCGAUUCUGACGUGCAAAUCGAUCGUCGGAACUGGG
rnacentral:rRNA from 1 species